CCUACGGGUGGCUGCAGUGGGGAAUAUUGGACAAUGGGCGAAAGCCUGAUCCAGCCAUGCCGCGUGUGUGAAGAAGGCCUUCGGGUUGUAAAGCACUUUCAGUGGGGAAGAAAGCCUUGGGGCUAAUACCCUCGAGGAAGGACAUCACCCACAGAAGAAGCACCGGCUAACUCCGUGCCAGCAGCCGCGGUAAUACGGAGGGUGUGAGCGUUAAUCGGAAUUACUGGGCGUAAAGCGCGCGUAGGCGGUCUGAUAAGCCGGUUGUGAAAGCCCCGGGCUCAACCUGGGAACGGCAUCCGGAACUGUCAGGCUAGAGUGCAGGAGAGGAAGGUAGAAUUCCCGGUGUAGCGGUGAAAUGCGUAGAGAUCGGGAGGAAUACCAGUGGCGAAGGCGGCCUUCUGGACUGACACUGACGCUGAGGUGCGAAAGCGUGGGUAGCAAACAGGAUUAGAUACCCGGGUAGUC
rnacentral:rRNA from 1 species